rnacentral:rRNA from 1 species
GUGUGGGAGUGUACUCGACCCGUGUCUGUGCAGCUAGUUACACAUAAAUAAUUCUUCCUGCGUGAGGGACGUUCGAUAAGAGAGAUUAUAAAUAAAAAUAGAUGGGGGGCGCCAGCAGAAGCAGAGCAUGUGUUUUAUUUAGAUGCAAGCAAAACGACGUACCUUACAGUAGAACUUACCUCCCACGUAUCACCACUAAUGAGAUUUCGCCCUUGGGGGCAGGGGUACAGGUUGUGCCUUGGUGUUGUCAGCUUGUGUCGUGAGAUGGUGGGUUAAGUCCCGCAACGAGCGCCACCCUUAUCUUUAGUUGCUACCAUUAAGUUGAGCACUCUAGUGAGACUGCCGUGGUUAACUGGGAGGAAGGUGGGGAUGACGUCAAAUCAUCAUGCCCCUUAUGUCUAGGGCUACACACGUGUUACAAUGGUUGGUACAAAGGGUUGCCACGCCGCGAGGUGGAGCUAAUCUUAUAAAACCAUUCCCAGUUCGGAUUGUAGGCUGAAACUCGCCUACAUGAAGCCGGAGUUGUUAGUAAUCGCAGAUCAGCA